rnacentral:rRNA from 1 species
AACGAACGCUGGCGGCAGGCUUAACACAUGCAAGUCGAACGCCCCGCAAGGGGAGUGGCAGACGGGUGAGUAACGCGUGGGAACGUGCCCUUCGCUUCGGAAUAGCCCCGGGAAACUGGGAGUAAUACCGAAUACGCCGUAUUGGGAAAGAUUUAUCGGCGAAGGAUCGGCCCGCGUUAGAUUAGCUAGUUGGCGGUGUAAUGGACCACCAAGGCUACGAUCUAUAGCUGGUCUGAGAGGAUGAUCAGCCACACUGGGACUGAGACACGGCCCAGACUCCUACGGGAGGCAGCAGUGGGGAAUCUUGGACAAUGGGUGCAAGCCUGAUCCAGCCAUGCCGCGUGAGUGAAGAAGGCCUUAGGGUUGUAAAACUCUUUCGCCGGAGAAGAUAAUGACGGUAUCCGGAGAAGAAGCCCCGGCUAACUUCGUGCCAGCAGCCGCGGUAAGAC